AUAAUUGUGAUGAGCCUACAGACCUGUAAUGAAUUUGUGAGUAUGAUCACAAUAUUAAUGAACAUCUAAGGGACUGAAUUUAU